GUGUGAUCCCCUUAUCAAUCCAUGGUUUGGCAUUAAACUUUGGUAUACAAUAUGUUAUGAUUUGGAGUGGGGUAGCCAGUGAUAAUGGGGUAGGGCUUUCUAGGUUGCGUCUCGUCGCGUCCCAUACCCGUAAAGCGAGUUUAACUUGCUCUGGCAGAAGGGGAAUGGGUGGUCAGAACCUUUUAGGGAGCCACAGCAUUGUGG